GACGAACGCUGGCGGCGUGCCUAACACAUGCAAGUCGAGCGGAGCGGCGGACGGGUAAGGAAUGCCUAGGAAUCUGCCUGGUAGUGGGGGAUAAGGUCAGGAAACGGGAGCUACUACCGCAUACUAUCAGCUGAGCAUAGGUCGGCUUAGCUAGUUGGUGGGUGAAAGGCCGACCAAGGCGACGAUCCGGAACUGGUCUGAGAGGAUGAUCAGUCACACUGUAACUGAGAAACGGGCCAGACUCCUACUGUAGGCAGCAGUGGGGAAUAUUGGACAAUGGGCGCAAGCCUGAUCCAGCCAUGCCGCGUGUGGUAAGAAGGUCUUCGGAUUGUAAAGAACUUUAAGUUGGGAGGCGUUACCAACAGAAUAAGCACCGGCUAACUUAGUGCCAGCAGCCGCGGUAAUAG
rnacentral:rRNA from 1 species